GAGUCAGUUGUAAUCAGAAUCCAUCAUGGUCAUGAAGGCCUCUGCUCAGUUACUGAGGCUGCUACUCCUCUAUAUCACAAGUGUGAGAUGUGACAUUCAAAUGACACAGUCUCCAUCAUCCCUGUCUGCAUCUCUAGGAGACAGAGUGUCUAUUAACUGCAGGGCAAGUACAAAUGUUAACAAGUAUUUAGCUUGGUUUCAACAGAAACCAGGGAUGGCUCCUAGGCAGCUCAUCUACUAUACAUCAAAUUUGAUGACUGGGGUUCCAACAAGGUUCAGUGGCAGUGGAUCUGGGCAAGAUUAUUCUCUCAGUAUCAGCAAUGUGGAGUCUGAAGAUAUUGCAACAUAUUACUGUCUACAGUACGAUAAGUAUCCUCCCACAGUGAUACAAGCCAUAACAAAAACCUUCAGGGAAGCAAAAAUGUGA